GAGAGAGAGAGAGAAAAAGAGAGAGAGAGAGAGAUCUUCCAUCUCUGUUACACUUCCCCAACACCCACAAGCUAAAGCUGAGCCAGGGUGAAGCCAGGA